rnacentral:rRNA from 1 species
GAUGAACGCUGGCGGCGUGCCUAAUACAUGCAAGUCGAGCGAACGGACGAGAAGCUUGCUUCUCUGAUGUUAGCGGCGGACGGGUGAGUAACACGUGGAUAACCUACCUAUAAGACUGGGAUAACUUCGGGAAACCGGAGCUAAUACCGGAUAAUAUUUUGAACCGCAUGGUUCAAAAGUGAAAGACGGUCUUGCUGUCACUUAUAGAUGGAUCCGCGCUGCAUUAGCUAGUUGGUAAGGUAACGGCUUACCAAGGCAACGAUGCAUAGCCGACCUGAGAGGGUGAUCGGCCACACUGGAACUGAGACACGGUCCAGACUCCUACGGGAGGCAGCAGUAGGGAAUCUUCCGCAAUGGGCGAAAGCCUGACGGAGCAACGCCGCGUGAGUGAUGAAGGUCUUCGGAUCGUAAAACUCUGUUAUUAGGGAAGAACAUAUGUGUAAGUAACUGUGCACAUCUUGACGGUACCUAAUCAGAAAGCCACGGCUAACUACGUGCCAGCAGCCGCGGUAAUACGUAGGUGGCAAGCGUUAUCCGGAAUUAUUGGGCGUAAAGCGCGCGCAGGCGGUUUUUUAAGUCUGAUGUGAAAGCCCACGGCUCAACCGUGGAGGGUCAUUGGAAACUGGAAAACUUGAGUGCAGAAGAGGAAAGUGGAAUUCCAUGUGUAGCGGUGAAAUGCGCAGAGAUAUGGAGGAACACCAGUGGCGAAGGCGACUUUCUGGUCUGUAACUGACGCUGAUGUGCGAAAGCGUGGGGAUCAAACAGGAUUAGAUACCCUGGUAGUCCACGCCGUAAACGAUGAGUGCUAAGUGUUAGGGGGUUUCCGCCCCUUAGUGCUGCAGCUAACGCAUUAAGCACUCCGCCUGGGGAGUACGACCGCAAGGUUGAAACUCAAAGGAAUUGACGGGGACCCGCACAAGCGGUGGAGCAUGUGGUUUAAUUCGAAGCAACGCGAAGAACCUUACCAAAUCUUGACAUCCUUUGACAACUCUAGAGAUAGAGCUUUCCCCUUCGGGGGACAAAGUGACAGGUGGUGCAUGGUUGUCGUCAGCUCGUGUCGUGAGAUGUUGGGUUAAGUCCCGCAACGAGCGCAACCCUUAAGCUUAGUUGCCAUCAUUAAGUUGGGCACUCUAAGUUGACUGCCGGUGACAAACCGGAGGAAGGUGGGGAUGACGUCAAAUCAUCAUGCCCCUUAUGAUUUGGGCUACACACGUGCUACAAUGGACAAUACAAAGGGCAGCGAAACCGCGAGGUCAAGCAAAUCCCAUAAAGUCGUUCUCAGUUCGGAUUGUAGUCUGCAACUCGACUACAUGAAGCUGGAAUCGCUAGUAAUCGUAGAUCAGCAUGCUACGGUGAAUACGUUCCCGGGUCU